AUGGUGGCGCUCUCCGGCAGACACACCCUGGGCGUGGCGCACUGCCCGUCGUUCACGCCCCGCCUCAAGUUCGAGGCGGCCACGCUGGACGCCGGAUUCGCGUCGUCGCUGGUGGCCACGUGCAGCAAUGGCAGGGACUCGGCGACGGCGACUUCGACCGGACGAGCACGACGUUCGACGGCGUCUACUUCAAGGAGCUGCAGCAGCGGAGGGGCCUGCUGA
rnacentral:rRNA from 1 species